UUGCUUUAUUCACCCCAUGGACAUUCUUCUACUAAAUGCCUCUUGUGGUAUUCUCUGCAUCAUCAGAAGUCAGAGUUGACUUUGAGCCCGUCUCUUUGCUUUGCCCUGCCUAGCCUUUGUGCCCAGGCUCCUCCUAGCAUCCUCCUUCGGUCUGUGACUGCCCUCUGUCUUUUCUGCACCCACUCUGUGUCUUCAUGAGACUCACCGUCUAGGAAGAGCUUGACACACACACUUUAGUUACCUUUCUAUGUCACAAGCCACCCUGAAGCUGGUGACUUCAGACAAUGCCUUGCCAUGAAUCUGUUGGCUGGGCAUAGCAGGGUAGAUCUUCUGUUCCAUGUGGGUUCAAUCCAGACCACUCAUGGGGCUGCAUUAGCUGGUAGAUUGGAUAAAAGACUCUAGGAUAGCUCAGUAGACGACCACCUGAUACUGAAUGCUGACCACUGCCCCCUCAGGUGGCCUUUCCCCAUGUUUCACAUUGCAUAGCUUGUCCUGAGGUCCCAAACAGUAAGAGUAGAAGCUGCCAUUCUUCUGGACCUGGAAACAAUGCAUCAUCACUCUGACCACCUUCAAUUGGUCAGAUCCAGCUCGGCGUCCACAGAAGGGACCCAGCCCUGCUUCCCUGGGAGGAGCAUACAGGAUCUCAGAUGUUAUUUGCCCGUUUUGCAGAUCUGCCAUCUUUAUCAAUGGUUGCUACAGAAACAGAGAUACGUUUUAAUGCCUCAUACUAGAGUUUUGCUGGAUGUGGCAGCGUGACCCAUGCCAAGGAGGAGGAGAAGCCUGUUUCUGAGCUCUCCCCCACAAAAGCGGCCAUGCUAGACAUUAAUCUCACUUCAGUUGACCACAAAAGUCCCUGCUUGCCCUGAACCAUUAUGAGAGCAUUUCUCUGCUCAUUAUUGCGGCUGGACUUGAGUGUUUUAAGAUUUGAUUUCUAAUAAUUCUGUGUGUGAGUGUGGCUACUUGAAUGUGCACAUGUGUGUGCAGGCCCAGGCAUUGUUUUUUGGUACCCACGUCUAUUGCUCUCCACCCUGUUUUUGUUUUUGUUUGUUUGUUUUUUUUGAGAUAAAGUCUCUCACGAAACCUGUGACUCAUUGAUUGGCCAGACUGGCUAACCAGUGGGCCUCUGGGAUAUUCACCUCACUGCCUCCCCGUGUUGAGGUUACAGAUGGACGCUGAGGCUCCCAGCUCUUGACGAGGGUGUCAGGAUCUGAACUCGGGUUCUGAUGGUUGUGCAGCAAGCACCCCAAACACUCGGCCAUCUACGCAGCCCCCUAAAAACCUUUAUUUUAGAAAAGAAAUAACUUUCAUUUAGUUAUCAAAUUUAUUUAGUUAAUUUAUUUAGUUAAUGUAAUUGAGUGUUUUGGGGGUCACCAGAAGGGAGUGCCUGAGACUGGAGCUACAGCUGGUUGUGAGCCUCCAGUGGGGUGCUGGGAAUUGUAGCCAGGUCCUCUGGAAGAGCAGCCAGCUCUGUGGCUCAGUUGAAAGCUCUCGGUGAAGUACACAUAUGGUCAGAUGCAACCUUACUCCUUCGAAAGGUGGGCUGUGGUUGUUGCCUUUGAAGGUGUCCAUCAUCAUGGGCCAGACCACCAGGGUGGAGUGACUGAGCAGAGUGCAGUCUUCCUAUCUGUCUCUAUCUCUCUCCCCUCUGUCUUUCUCUGUUUCUCUUCCUGUCUGUUUCUUUCUGUGGAUUUCUCUGUUGAUCUCUCUCUCUCUCUCUCUCUCUCUCCCCCCCCCUCUCUCUCUCUCUCUCUGUGUGUGUGUGUGUGUGUGUGUGUGUGUGUGUGUUCCUGUCCGUCUCUCUUCCUGUCUGUCUCUGCAUAUGCCUGUGCUUGAGUGAUGUGUAUGGAGUACUUUUGGUGAUUCUGAGCAUUCUAGCAUCCAUCAUUUGGCCUGGGUGCCAAAUUGCACAGCUCAUCAAAUAGAGCAAUCUUCCUAAAAGAAGCAAAUUAUCACGUCCUUGUCUCAAGCAGGGGAGAGAUGGAACAACUGGCCUUUCUUUCAAGUUGUCACUAACUCUGAAACUGUAUCAGAUGUAAAAAUGGCUUUGUUUAAUUAAUCAAGCAUUGAGGAUGUGCAUGUGUGUGUGUGUGUGUGUGUGUGUGUGUGUGUGUGUGUGUGUGUGUGUGUGAGUGUGUGUGUGUGUAUGUGUGUAUGUGUGUAUGCGUGUGUGCUUGCAUCCCUCCAAACCACUGUUGUCCCUUUUGUGGCUAUUUUUCCGUUCUGUUCAGAUGGAUGAAAAUUAAGCACGCUCUUAGGAUUCUUUUCAUUGUUCUUCCUUACAGGCUCAGUUUUGGAACACCACCCCCACCCCAUGAAAUAUUAAGACUUCUCUUAGCCCAAAGUUCAUCCUUGAGUAGUUUUCUGUUACGAUUUUAGCAGAUCUCCAAGGUGAAUAUUAAAAUUCCCCCAAUCCUCCCUCCUUACUCACCCC
rnacentral:lncRNA from 1 species